rnacentral:rRNA from 1 species
ACGCUCGACACCUACGGGAGGAGCAGUGGGGGAUAUUGCACAAUGGGGGAAACCCUGAUGCAGCGACGCCGCGUGAGGGAAGACGGUCUUCGGAUUGUAAACCUCUGUCUUUAGGGACGAAAAAAUGACGGUACCUAAGGAGGAAGCCACGGCUAACUACGUGCCGGCAGCCGCGGUAAUCUGAGCGGGCUGGCAAGGC